rnacentral:rRNA from 1 species
GACGAACGCUGGCGGCGUGCUUAACACAUUCAAGUCGAACGGUAAGGCCCUUCGGGGUACACGAGUGGCGAACGGGUGAGUAACACGUGGGUGAUCUGCCCUGCACUUCGGAAUAAGCCUGGGAAACUGGGUCUAAUACUGGUUAGGACCACUGCCUGCAUGGGUGGUGGUGGAAAGCUUUUGCGGGGUGGGAUGGGCCCGCGGCCGAUCAGCUUGUUGGUGGGGUGAUGCCCUACCAGGGCGACGACGGGUAGCCGGCCUGAGAGGGUGACCGGCCACACUGGGACUGAGAUACGGCCCAGACUCCUACGGGAGGCAGCAGUGGGGAAUAUUGCACAAUGGGCGCAAGCCUGAUGCAGCGACGCCGCGUGAGGGAUGCCGGCCUUCGGGUUGUAAACCUCUUUCAGCACCGACGAAGCGCAAGUGACGGUAGGUGCAGAAGAAGGACCGGCCAACUACGUGCCAGCAGCCGCCGUAA